AAACAAGUGAAACAAAUGAAUGCAAUACACCAGUGUCAAACAAAACAUGAGUAAGAUGGUUACAGAUCAGUGUACAUACCCUGUACCACGUUCGGGUCGGCAUCGGCAUCCUGCUGGGUGAGGUUGUAAGCCCUACCCUGGAUAAGAGGUCUUCUAUGAUUCUGGUUCAUUAGGCACUUUAUCACAUAGUGUUGAGCACUACCACAUAUGCGACAGGCAUUGUUGAGGCGGUAGCAUGGUCGGUCCCUGUGAUCCCUGCCGCAAUGCUGACAGAUCUUACCACGUCUUACCACUGGAGCCUGAGGGGGAGCUUGGAUCACCGGUCUGGGCCUCUUGUUCUGUUGGACAAGCGUUGUAGGAGCUGGUCUGCGGGGUGGAGCUGAGGGUAUGUGGUUCCCUACUGACUGAGAGAGGGUGUGGAGGCUCCUCUCCACUAACUGUGACUUGGCCAGAACGACCGAGUAAGUCCAGAGCUCCAGUACAAAUAAAUGCUGCUUGAUCUCUAGGCAGAGGCCCUAGUGGAACCUCCUAGCCUUCCUGCCCUCAUCCAUCAAAGUCUUAGGGGAGUAUCGGCCCAACUCCAGGAACUUACGAGCAUAUUCUGACACCGUCAUGUUCCCUUGGACCAACUGGACAAACUCUAUCUCAUUCAGAUGUCGGAUGUGCUUUAAGAGGUACUCUGCAUGAAAGGCUGCUAGGAACUGUUCCCGAGUAACUGGAACAGGCAAGGUGGUUUGCUUGAGUUCCCACCAGCGGUCUGCUUCUCCCACCAGCAUGUAAGUAGCAAGGGUGAUCCUCUACUCGGGAGUAACUCCUAGGAUCUUGAAGGCCUUCUCCAUCUCUGCCAACCAGUACUGGGCAUCUUCAAAAGAGGAUUUCCUUGCAAAAGUAGAUGGGUUCAAUCUCCUGUACCUCUCUACGUAUCCUGGGUCAAUCAUGAAAGGAGUUGGGUCCCGCAGAAUAGGGACUGGGCCAGGCUGAGGAUGGACUAGGGGGCCCUGUGGUGGUACUUGCUGAUAUGGUGAGGCUAUUGGAUUAUACUGUGGCAGUGUCAGGCAGUACUGUGGCUGGGGCACCGGAUUAUACUACGGCGGUAGCACCGAGUGAUACUGUGGAGGAGCAGGCUCGUACCGGGGUGGCUCGGGAUCCUCUCGCUGCAGUGGUGGCUCAACCUGUGACAGUUGGGGAGGGUCGGGUAGCUCCCUUCUCUCCUUUCAACCCUGCUGGGCAGCAAUGAGUCUCUCUAGCAUCUCAAAUAUCUUAUCAACGUCUUCCCAAAGCGAACCAUCCUGGGCUGCUCAGUUCAGUAGGGGUCUUCCUCUUCUCAUCUCUUCGUACCUGCAUUUCACAAGGAAUGGUUGAGUAAUGAUUCAUUGGUUUAGUGUUUCUCUAAGUAUCAUUGUGUAAGGGAUGAGUCCGAAC
rnacentral:lncRNA from 1 species